AUUGAACGCUGGCGGCAGGCCUAACACAUGCAAGACGAGCGAGCGGCGAACGGGUGAGUAAUGUAUGGGGACUGCCCGACAUUGGGGGAUAAAUCCUGGAAACGGUCGCUACUACCGCAUACUAUCGGAUGCCCCAUAUGGGGUUAGCUAGUAGGUGGGGUAAUGGCUCACCUAGGCGACGAUCCCUAGCUGGUCUGAGAGGAUGAUCAGCCAAACUGGGACUGAGACACGGCCCAGACUCCUACGGAUGCAGCAGUGGGGAAUAUUGCACAAUGGGCGCAAGCCUGAUGCAGCCAUGCCGCGUGUAUGAAGAAGGCCCUAGGGUUGGAAAUUACUUUCAGUCGGGAGGCGGUACCGACAGAAGAAGCACCGGCUAACUCCGUGCCAGCAGCCGCGGUAAUUC
rnacentral:rRNA from 1 species